AAUAGAUACCCUGGUAGUCCACGCUGUAAACGAUGUCAACUAGCUGUUGGCUAUAUGAAUAUAGUUAGUGGCGCAGCAAACGCGAUAAGUUGACCGCCUGGGGAGUACGGUCGCAAGAUUAAAACUCAAAGGAAUUGACGGGGGCCCACACAAGCGGUGGAGCAUGUGGUUUAAUUCGAUGCAACGCGAAGAACCUUACCUACCCUUGACAUACAGUGGAGCUUGCAGAGAUGUGAGUGUGCCUUCGGGAACACUGAUACAGGUGCUGCAUGGCUGUCGUCAGCUCGUGUCGUGAGAUGUUGGGUUAAGUCCCGUAACGAGCGCAACCCUUAUCCUUAGUUGCCAGCACGUAAAGGUGGGAACUCUAAGGAGACUGCCGGUGACAAACCGGAGGAAGGCGGGGACGACGUCAAGUCAUCAUGGCCCUUACGGGUAGGGCUACACACGUGCUACAAUGGUUGAUACAGAGGGCAGCGAAGGGGCGACCUGGAGCAAAUCUUAGAAAGUCAAUCGUAGUCCGGAUUGG
rnacentral:rRNA from 1 species